rnacentral:tRNA from 1 species
GCGAGAGUAGCACAGUGGUAGUGCGCCUGCCUUCCAAGCAGGAUACGCGGGUUCGAUUCCCGUCUCUCGCU